GACGAACGCUGGCGGCGUGCUUAACACAUGCAAGUCGAACGGACAGGCCCUGAUUUUGUGGGGUGCUCGAGUGGCGAACGGGUGAGUAACACGUGAGUAACCUGCACUUGACUUUGGGAUAACUUCAGGAAACUGGGGCUAAUACCGGAUAGGAGCUCCUGCUGCAUAGGGGGGGUUGGAGAGUUUCGGCGGUUGGGGAUGGACUCGCGGCUUAUCAGCUUGUUGGUGGGGUAGUGGCUUACCAAGGCUUUGACGGGUAGCCUGCCUGAGAGGGUGACCGGCCACAUUGGGACUGAGAUACGGCCCAGACGCCUACGGGAGGCAGAAGGGGGGAAUAUUGCACAAUGGGCGGAAGCCUGAUGCAGCAACGCCGCGUGCGGGAUGACGGCUUUCGGGUUGUAAACCGCUUUCGCCUGUGACGAAGCUUGAGUGACGGUAAUGGGUAAAGAAGCACCGGCUAACUACGUG
rnacentral:rRNA from 1 species